rnacentral:rRNA from 1 species
GAAACGACUGCUAAGACUGGAUAGGAAAUAGAAGGAUAACCUUUUAUUUUUAAAAGACCUUCUUCGGAAGGUAUGCUUAAAGAAGGGCUUGCGCCACAUUAGUUAGUUGGUAGGGUAAAAGCCUACCAAGACUAUGAUGUGUAGCUGGACUGAGAGGUUGAACAGCCACAUUGGGACUGAGACACGGCCCAAACCCCUACGGGAGGCAGCAGUAGGGAAUUUUCGGCAAUGGAGGAAACUCUGACCGAGCAACGCCGCGUGAACGAAGAAGUAUUUAGGUAUGUAAAGUUCUUUUAUUGAAGAAGAAAAAAUAGUGGAAAAACUAUCUUGACGCUAUUCAAUGAAUAAGCCCCGGCUAACUAUGUGCCAGCAGCCGCGGUAAGACAUAGGGGGCGAGCGUUAUCCGGAAUUAUUGGGCGUAAAGGGUGCGUAGGCGGUUAGAUAAGUCUAUAAUUUAAUUUCAGUGCUUAACGCUGUUCUGUUAUAGAAACUGUCUAGCUAGAGUGAGAUAGAGGCAAGUGGAAUUCCAUGUGUAGCGGUAAAAUGUGUAAAUAUAUGGAGGAACACCAGAAGCGUAGGCGGCUUGCUGGGUCUUUACUGACGCUGAGGCACGAAAGCGUGGGUAGCAAACAGGAUUAGAUACCCUGGUAGUCCACGCCGUAAACGAUGAGUACUAAGUGUCGGGGUUAAACUCGGUACUGAAGUUAACACAUUAAGUACUCCGCCUGAGUAGUACGUACGCAAGUAUGAAACUUAAAGGAAUUGACGGGACUCCGCACAAGCGGUGGAUCAUGUUGUUUAAUUCGAAGAUACACGAAAAACCUUACCAGGUCUUGACAUACUCUGCAAAGCUAUAGAAAUAUAGUGGAGGUUAUCAGGGAUACAGGUGGUGCAUGGUUGUCGUCAGCUCGUGUCGUGAGAUGUUAGGUUAAGUCCUAAAACGAGCGCAACCCUUGUCGUUAAUUGCCAGCACGUUAUGGUGGGGACUUUAGCGAGACUGCCAAUUAAAAAUUGGAGGAAGGUGAGGAUUACGUCAAAUCAUCAUGCCCCUUAUGAUCUGGGCUACAAACGUGAUACAAUGGCUGUUACAAAGAGUAGCUGAAAUGCGAGUUUUUAGCCAAUCUCAAAAAAGCAGUCUCAGUUCGGAUUGAAGUCUGCAACUCGACUUCAUGAAGUUGGAAUCGCUAGUAAUCGCGAAUCGGCAUGUCGCGGUGAAUACGUUCGCGGGGUUUGUACACACCGCCCGUCA